rnacentral:rRNA from 1 species
UUGAAGUGGGGGCAUUUGUAGAUAUGUAAAUUUCGUUGCAUGCAAAUGAUGCAUCACAAAGCUCAACGUGGCAUAUGACUCAUCAAAAAUAAACAAGUCAUCAAUGAUAUGUGGCACAAAUCAAGCAAAGGAAGUACAAAACCUUCCCAAAAGUUGGCAAAAGGGAGAAAAUCCCUCUUAAAAUCGACAAGGGGUCUAAAUUGCUCCCAAAACCAGAAAGAAAGCUAAAACAUCUUCACAAAAUAAGCAAGAAUUGAAGAUUGCUCACAAAAUGGGCAAGAAAGCCUUAUAAUUAGGCCAAGCAAGGGAAAGUGGCUGAAAUUAAGACACAAAACAUGCCUAAAUUCUCCCAUGGAUGAAUCAAGACACAAAUCAAAGCCAAAUCCAUCCAAAUGAAGGCUUUGAGAAGUCUAUAAAUACAGGGUCCUUAGGCAAGCAUAAAGGUCUACAAUUGCUACAUUCAAGAUCGACAAUUUCUACAUUCAAAGUGGACAAUUUCUACAUUGCAAGGCAAUUCUACAUCCAGAGGAACCUCUGCACCAAAUCUUUGAAGACUAAUACACUGCAAAAGUUCUCUUCAAAGAAUGCACAACCAAAGCAGAAGCUUUCUUUUGACCAAAGCCGAAGCAUUCCCUUAAAGAAUCAACAACCACCUGUGCCUCUUCCUUCAAGACUUUGUUGCAAGCUCAAAUCGGGUAAAGCCAAUUAUUAGAGGCAUCGGGGGCGCAACGCCUUCGACCUAUUCUCAAACUUUAAAUAGGUAGGACAGCGUAGCUACUUCGUUGAGCCAUGCCACGGAAUCGAGAGCUCUAAAUGGGCCAUUUUUGGUAAGCAGAACUGGCGAUGCGGGAUGAACCGAAAGCCAGGUUAUGGUGCCCAACUGCACGCUAACCUAGAACCCACAAAGGAUGUUGGUCGAUUAAGAUAGCAGGACGGUGGUCAUGGAAGUCGAAAUCAGCUAAAGAGUGUGUAACAACUCACCUGCGAAUCAAUUAGCCCCAAAAAUGGAUGGCGCUGAAGCGCGCGACCUACACCCAACCGUAAGGGCAAGCGCCAGGCCCCGAUGAGUAGAAAGGCACGACGAUCGCUGCAAAACCUGGGGCACAAGCCCAGGUGGAGCGGCCGUCGGUGCAGAUCUUGGUGGUAGUAGCAAAUAUUUAAAUGAGAACUUUGAAGGUUGAAGAGGGGAAAGGUUCCAUGUGAACGAUACUUGCACAUGGGUUAGUCGAUCCUAAGAGACGGGGGAAGCCUGUCUAACAGCGUGUCCAGCGCGAACUUCAAAAGGGAAUUGGGUUAAAAUUAUUGAACUAGGACGCGGCGGUUGACGGCGACAUUAAGGAGUCCGGAGACGUCGGCAGGGGUCUCGGGAAGAGUUAUCUUUUAUGUUUAACAACCUGCUUACCCUGGAAACGGCUUAGCCAGAGGUAGGGUCCAGCAGCUGGAAUAAUACCGCACGCUGCGCGGUGUCUAAUGCGCCCCCGGUAGCCCUUGAAAAUCUUGAGGAUCGAGUACCGUUAGCGCCCGGUCAUUCUUAUAACCGCAUCAGGUCUCCAAGGUGAAUAGCCUCUGGUCGAUCGAAUAAUAUAGGUAAGGGAAGUCGACAAAAUGGAUCUGUAACUUCGAGAAAAGGAUUGGCUUUGAGGAAUAGGCAUGAGGGUCCCAGCCUGUAACCCGUCGACUGUCGGGGACUGCUCAAGCUGCUCUUGCGACGAGAGUGAGUGGCUGCGUGCCGGGCGGGGGAAAGACUGGAACGGUCAUUUCGAGGACCUUCCCUGGGCAGCGAACAUUCAGCUCAGAACUGGUACGGACAAGGGGAAUCCGAUUGUUUAAUUAAAACAAAGCAUUCGAUGGUCCCUGGGGAUACUAAUGCAAUGUGAUUUCUGCCCAGUGCUCUGAAUGUCAAAGUGAAGAAAUUCAACCAAGCGCGGGUAAACGGCGGGAGUAACUAUGACUCUCUUAAGGUAGACAAAUGCCUCAUCAUCUAAUUAGUGACGUGCAUGAAUGGAUUAACGAGAUUUUUACUGUCCCUGUCUACUGUCCAGCAAAACCACAGCCAAGGGAACAGGCUUGGCAGAAUCAGCGAGGAAAGAAGACCUUGUUGAGCUUGACUCUAGUCCGACUUUGUGAAAUGACUUGAGAGUUGUAGUAUAAGUAGGAGCCUUACGGUGAAAUUGAAAUACCACUACUUUUAAUGUUAUUUUACUUAUUCUGUGAAUCGGAAGUGGGGCAUCGCCCCUUUUUUUGGAACAAAGGUCUACUCGCAGGCUGAUCCGAGCAAAAGACAUUGUGAGGUGGGGAGUUUGGCUGGGACGGCAGAUCUGUUAAAAGAUAAAGCAUGUGUCCUAAAAUGAGCUCAACGAGAACAGAAAUCUCGUGUGGAACAAAAGGGUAAAAGUUUGUUUGAUUCUGAUUUCCAGUACGAAUAGGAACCGUGAAAGCAUGGCCUAUCGAUCAUUUAGACCUUCAGAAUUUGAAGCUAAAGGUGUCAGGAAAGUUACCACAAGGAUAACUGGCUUGUGGCAGCUAAGCGUUCAUAGUGACGUUACUUUUUGAUCCUUCGAUGUCGACUCUUCUUAUCGUUGUGAAGUAGAGUUCACCAAGUGUUAGAUUGUUCACCCACCAAUAAGGAACGUAAGCUGGGUUUAGACCGUCAUGAGACAGGUUAGUUUUACCCUACUAAUGACAGCGUCGCAAUAGUAAUUCAACCUAGUACGAGAGGAACCGUUGAUUCGCAUAAUUGGUCAUCGCGCUUGGUUGAAAAGCCAGUGGCGCGAAGCUACCGUGCGCUGGAUUAUGACUGAACGCCUCUAAGUCAGAAUCCGGUCUAGAAACGAUGCGUGCGCUCGCCGCCCGAUUGCCGACCUGCAGUAGAGGCCUCGGCCCCUAAAGGCUCAUGUCGAUGGUCAAGCCGUCGCGACGGUCGAGCUGUGCCUGCCACCUUGAAUCAUAAUUUCCACUGAGU